AUGCUGCGUGGUGUUGCCCGGUUCUGCUUGCGGGGUCGGGGAGGGGUGACUUGCUUGUGUUUGGCUGGUCGUGGACCGUGGUUGCCUUGAGCUGGGCGGCGACGCACCCCUAGGAUGCCCCUCCGUGCCAUCCUCUGCCUCUAGAGGCUGUGCGUCGCUCGUCCUUGGGUUGUCCAUGUCGGAUCUGGUGGGGGGAAGAAACCUUGUUUGGUUAGAACCUGACCUGUGCCACUUGUGUGCCCUGGGCCCUGGGUUUCCCUGAUCGGUGCGUUCUCUAAUUUCUGGCUAUUUCUUACUCUAAUCCCUUAAGGGGAGUUAAGCUAUCUUACUGCGUGUGUACGCGGUUGCCCCUUGUGGAGCGAGGACAUUACGGCAGCGCACUACCAUAAGUGGCCCUCAUGAACUCGCGGUUUUCCUGGUGCUGGGGUCGUCCUCAUCGUUGUCUUCUUCGUUUUCGCUGGUGAGGGUGUGCUCGACGUCGUCGCUGGUAAGGGUGUGCUCGUGGUCGUGGUAGGCCUUGAGGUCGGCUAGUCCGGCCGUUCGUCGUUGUCUUCCCGGAUGCUUCUGGAGUCGUGCUAUGGUGGGGGAAAUAAAUUUUACUACUUUGUAAGGCCCCUCAUAUUUGGGAGCCAGUUUGGCCGCUUUGGACAGGUGAUGUCGGCGUAGCAUCACGAGCGUCCCGAUCGUGGGUCUCCAUUCGCGUCGACGUAGGUUGUCGUUCCUGCUCUGCGUCUGUGAUGCCUGCUGGGUAUUUUCCUGUACGAUGGCGAAGAUUUCCUUGAGUCGCUUGGCCUUGUCGGUUGGGAUCUCUGUCACUUCGCCUAGUCCUGGGGUCGCCUCUUCGUACAAGGCUCCAGGCAACCGAGGUUCCCGGCCGAGUACGAUGAAUGCUGGGUUGAAGCCUGUGGUGUCCGAUGUGCUGCUGUUGAUGGCUAGGCUGAGUUCGGGCAGCAGCUCGUCCCAUGUCCGCUGGUCUCCAUCGAUGUACUGGGCGAUCAUGACUUUGAUCGUCAUGCUGUCUCCGGAGAACGUUAGUGCUGGUUCCAAGGAUAUCCUUGGGGACCACGGCAAGAGUGUUGAGGAAGUGAAUGUGGGUGUGGCUCCCACUUGAAAGGAUGUGUUUUACUCCUCAAAUCACAGGUCACAGAAGGCGGCUGCUCGGUGUGGUGGAACAGGUUCGACGAAUUUUGCGGAAUGAAUGGGGCCUUAGCAGGAAGGCUGUACGAACCAUAUACGGGGGUCUGUUUGUUGCUUGCACAGCAUAUGGAUCUUCGGUGUGGUGUAGUGCGGCUAUGAGUGUUGCUGGCAGAAAGAAAGUGCUGGCCUGCCAGAGAGAGAUUUUGCUUGGAUGUUUGCCGGUGUGCCGCACUGUCUCUACGGAGGCAAUGCAGGUACUCCUUGGCGCUGUCCCUCUUGACUUGGAGAUACGGCGCCGUGCUACAAGAUUAAGAGGCGUCUGCCUUUGUGUUAGAAUGAAUGGUUAGCUGAUAGGAACGUGGAGAGCUUAGGAAUUAGUGAGUGCAAGAGUUUGUUGGAUGAAUUCGUACUGUCUGACUGGCAAGUUAGAUGGGAUAGCAGUGAUGUCACGUUUGUCAGCUGUCGACCGGAGUUUGGUUUAAACCUUAGUUCUGGGUUCCUCUUGACUGGUCACGGCUCUCUCAAUGCAUUCGAGGGGCCUGAGUGACAGUGAGUGACCUUCGGGAUCUGGAUGCCUUGGGUGUUGUUGAAGUUAGGGGUGAGUUUGACGUUAGUCAAACGCUCUCCACGGUAGAUAGGGUUAGAAGUUUUAACUUUUAACUAUGCAAGGGCUGUUUUUUCCAGACGACGCUUGACGGUUUUCUGAGGAAAUAUUAUGUGUAAUUGAUUGUCAUUUUGUUUGUUUUUUCUUGUGUUUUUACUUGUGUUUAGACCCAUCGCUCUUUGCGUUGGUCUAGGGGGCCACCAACCCGUGACUGUUUUGGAGUCAAAAUUGGAAGUGUCCUUCGUGGCACGAAGCCUGACCGGAGGCUUUAUUCUGGUACCACGGGAGCCAGAGCCCGCGGAACUCGUUUCCGUCCUGGCUAUGGUUGCGGCCCCUUGGGGAGCUUCGUGGUGGUUGUGGCUAACACUCAAGCGAGUAGAGCUUGGGCUCGACGUGGAGUUGCGUUAUACAACCUGGUGCUGUGACCCACAGAUCAGCAGAGGUUUAGAUAGCUCGCUCCACACCAGGGAGGAAGACAAGACCAAAACAGAUUGUCUUCAACUGGUACCGGAGGAACCGGGGCGCUGAUUGACGCUUAAAUUAAUCCAGUGCUUGGCACCGUGAGAUAAAGCCAAUACGGCAGGUGUUCACGUAAAACACAUUGACUUUAAUGUCCCUAUCUACUAUCUAGCGAAACCACAGCCAAGGGAACGGGCUUGGAAUAAUUAGCGGGGAAAGAAGACCCUUUUGAGCUUGACUCUAAUCUGGCAGUGUAAGGAGACAUAAGAGGUGUAGCAUAAGUGGGAGAUAUUAGAUUUCGGUUUGGUAUCGACAAUGAAAUACCACUACUCUUAUUGUUUCCUUACUUACUUGAUUAAAUGGAACGUGUAUCAUUUCCUAGCCAUUAAACGGAUAUAUUUAUUAUAUCUUAUGGUAUUGGGUUUUGAUGCAAGCUUCUUGAUCAACGUAUCACGAGUUUGUUAUAUAAUCGCAAACAAAUUCUUUAAUGAGAAGAUGCAUUUAUGUAUUUUCAAUUUGAAAAUUUGGUAAAACUCCAAUUACUCAAGUAUGAUCCAAUUCAAGGACAUUGCCAGGUAGGGAGUUUGACUGGGGCGGUACAUCUCUCAAAUAAUAACGGAUGUGUCCCAAAGCCAGCUCAGUGCGGACAGAAACCACACAUAGAGCAAAAGGGCAAAUGCUGACUUGAUCUCGGUGUUCAGUACACACAGGGACAGCAAAAGCUCGGCCUAUCGAUCCUUUUGGUUUAAAGAGUUUUUAACAAGAGGUGUCAGAAAAGUUACCAUAGGGAUAACUGGCUUGUGGCGGCCAAGCGUUCAUAGCGACGUCGCUUUUUGAUCCUUCGAUGUCGGCUCUUCCUAUCAUUGUGAAGCAAAAUUCACCAAGCGUUGGAUUGUUCACCCAUGCAAGGGAACGUGAGCUGGGUUUAGACCGUCGUGAGACAGGUUAGUUUUUCCCUACUAAUGACAAAACGUUGUUGCGACAGCAUUCCUGCGUAGUACGAGAGGAACCGCAGGUACGGACCAGUGGCACAAUACUUGGUAUACAGUGGUAUGACGCUACGUCCGUUGGAUUAUGCCUGAACGCCUCUAAGGUCGUAUCCGUGCUGGACUGCAAUGAUAAAUAAGGGGCAAUUUGCAUUGUAUGGCUUCUAAACCAUUAAAAGUUUAUAAUUUAUUUUAUUAGCGACAAUGGAUGUGAUGCCAAUGUAAUUUGUAACAUAGUAAAUUGGGAGGAUCAUCGAUCACCUGAUGCUGCGCUAGUUGCAUAUAAAAACAUUAUUUAAUACA
rnacentral:rRNA from 1 species